GUUCCAUCCAGAGCGGCCGAGAGUUCUGGCUCGUUGACGCCGCAGCAACCCACUCCUGAACGGAAGCCUCCACAGGGAAACGGGUGCUAACGCCAGAUCCGAUGGAGA
rnacentral:ncRNA from 2 species